rnacentral:rRNA from 1 species
UACAGAGGUGCCAAGCGUUAGGCGGAAUCACUGGGCUUAAAGCGCGUGUAGGUGGGUCGUUAAGUGUCCGCGUGAAAUCCCACGGCUCAACUGUGGAACUGCUCGGUAUACUGCUUAUCUUGAGCCACUUAGGGGCUGUCGGAACAAAUGGUGGAGCGGUGAAAUGCGUAGAGAUCGGAAAGAACACCAACGGCGAAAGCACUCUGCUGGGCCGACACUGACACUGAGAGACGAAAGCUAGGGGAGCGAAUGGG